rnacentral:lncRNA from 1 species
UUUUUUUUUUUUUUUUUGUCCCCCUCAGGAUUGCUUUGGCAAUUCUGGGUCUUUUAUCCAUAUAAAUUUUUGGAUUGUUUGUUCUAGUUCUGUGGAAAAUGUUAUGGGUAAUUUGAUAGGAAUCACAUUAAAUCUGUAGAUUGCUUUGGGUAGUAUGGCCAUUUUAACAAUUGUUAUCCUUCCAAGCCAAGAGCAUGGGAUAUAUUUCCAUUUUUAUGAAUCCUAAUUGAUUUCUUUUAUAAAAGUUUUAUAGGGAGUUGCUGUCAUGGCUCAGUGGAAACGAAUCUGACUUAUAUCCAUGAGGACUUGGGUUCGAUCCCUGGCCUCGCUCAGUUGGUUGAGAAUCCCAUGUUGCCAUGAGCUGUGGUGUAGGUUGAAGAUGUAGCUCAAAUCUGGUGUUGCUGUAGCUGUGGUGUAGGCCAGCAGCCACAGCUCUGAUUUGACCCCUAGCCUGAGAACCUCUAUGUGCUACAGGUGUGGCCCUAAAAAGAUACACACAAAAAAGGUUUUAUAGUUCUCAGUGUAUAAGUCCUUUAUCUCUUUGGUCAGGUUUGUUCUUAGGUAUUGUUUUUGUUUUGGUGAGAUUUUAAAAGAUAUUAUUUUUUACAUCCCUGUUCUAAUAUUUCAUUGUUAGUAUACAGAAAUACAGCUGAUUACUGAAUAUUAAUCUUGUAUCCUGCUACUUUGCUUAAAUUGUUUAUCAGAUUGAACAGUUUUUUUGUUGGCUUCUUAACAGUUAUCUAUGAAUGGUUUAAGAAGUUGUGGUGCAUACACUCAAUAGAAUACUACUCAGCUAUAAAAAGAACAAAAUAGUACUAUUUGCAGCAGCUCAUAGUAAGUGAGGUAAGUCAGAAAGAGACUACAUAUGAUAUUAUUUAUAUGUGGACUCUAAAAUAUGGCACCAAUGAACCCAUCUAUCUACAAAACAGAACAAAACUCACAGAUAUGGAAAAAAGACUUGUGGUUGCUAAGGGGGAGUGAGGUGGGAGUGACAUGGACUUGGAAUUUGAUAUUAGUAUAUGCAAACUAUUAUAUUUAGAGUGGAUAAGCAAUAAGAUCCUACUGUACAGCACAGGGAACUAUAUUCAAUCUCCUGGGACAGACCAUGAUGGAAAAUAAUAUUAAAAAAAGAAUGUGUAUAUGUGUGGAUAAGUCACUUUGCUGUACAGUAUAAAUUGGCAAAACAUUGUAAAUCAACUAUAUUCUAAUUUAAAAAUAUUAAAAAAUAAAAUAUUUGACAAUGCAAUUUUUUGUAGUUUAUGUAGUUCAGAUAUAGCUGUAUUCAUUAACAAUGAACUGAAAGGAAAUUUUCCUGCAGAGUACCCACAUGUUCAGAUUAACCUUAUACUAAAAAUAACUGCCAUGUUAGCAGUAUCUGAGCAUUUAUCAAAAGACUGAUAAAUACUGAAAUAAUUUAUUAGUUCUAUGACUUAGUUUGACAUAUAAUUCAUUAUAUACUGUAGCUGUGUUGUCAUUAGAAAGUAUUGCUUAAUUUUUUUGCACAGAUUUAUCCAGUAUUUGCAACCAUCUCUUACUAACGUAAUCUUUAACCAAUCGUGUCAGGCAUUUCAUAUGGCUAUUUAAUCUUAACAAAUUUCAGUGCUGCUUUAAAAGAAGCCUAAAAAGGACUAAUAUUUAUAUGUGAAAUAUUAAGCAUAUACCUGUAAAAUUAUUCAUCAGUAUCCCUCCUUUUGAAGAAUUACUUGUUUUGAACUUAUGUCCUUACAUUUUGUAUGCAAGUCUAAGUUUUCAGAACUGCAUUGUUUUAUUAGCCAGUACAUUGCCAUAAAGAAUAAACUAUUGCUUUAGCAUUUCAUCAUCAAAUAAAACUACAAAGCUGAAUAUAAUAUAUAAGGAAUCAUACAUGUGAGUAAAAAUACUAACAAUAAUUAAUUUGUUUGGAAUAUUUUUCAUCAUUUGAUUUAUGAUUCCUGCCACAUCCAGAAAAGAUCUUUUUCUUAAAAAAUAGUCAGUGAAGGGAGUUCCUGUUGUGGCACAGUAGAAAUGAAUCUGACUAGUAUCCAUGGGGGUGUGGGUUUGAUCCCUGGCCUUGCUCAGUUAGUUGGGGAUCCAGCAUUGCUGUGACUGUGGUGUAGCCCAGAAGCUUCAGCUCCAGUUCAAGCCCUGGCCUGGGAACUUCCACAUGCUGUGGGUACAGCCCUAAAAAGCAAAAAAAAAAAAAAAAAAGUCAAUGAAAAUAUGUCCCAACCUUGAGAGUUAAAACUUAGUAAUAUAAAUAUCAUCUCCAUAAUUUAACAGCUUUGAAUCAUAAGUUAUAAAGGUUUGAUUUAAAAUAAAAUGGUUGUGAAAGAUACAGUUUUAGUGUCCUAAAUACAGAUGUUUUAAAUAUUCAUUUCUGGGUUAUAGUUGAGAAACUAAUAAAAUAUUGUUGAAAAUUAAAAAUACAACUGCUCUCUGAUCAAGCAAUCACAGGUUUAGAUCCAUAUCUGAGGGAAAUAAAGUCUCUGUCUCACAGAGAUAAUUGCAUUACCAGGUCCAUUGCAGCAUCAAGGGUAGUAGCAAAGACAUAUAAACAGUCUUAAGUGCCCAUCAACAGAUGAAUGAACAAAGAAAAUGUGACCUAUAUAAAAUGUAUAUUAUUCUGCCAUAAAAAAGAAGGAUAUCCUGCCUCUUUGAGAAAACACGGACAAACUAGAUGACAUUUUGCUAAGUGACAUAAGCCAGACAAAGACAAAUACUGCACAUGCUCACUUAUAUAUAGAAUCUAAAAAAAUGAAAUUAAAAAAAUAGAAAAGUGGUUGCUAGGGGAUGGGGGAAAUGGAGAGAUGUUGAACAAAGAGUACAGAUUUCUAGCUGUAAGAUGUAUUGGUUCUGAAAUCUAAUAUACAGCCUGGUAACUACAUUGAAUAACACUGUAUAAUGUACUUGAAAGGUGUUAAGAGAGUAGAAUUCACAAAAACAAGAAUUAGGAGAUAUAGGUGUUAGCUAUAUAUGAUAAUCUUUUCCUAAGAUAUGCAUGUAUCAAAUUAUCACAUUGUACACCUUAAAUUUAUGUCAUAUGUCAGUAAUAUCUCAGUGAAGCUGGAAAUUACCACUUGAUGAAACAUGAUCUUAUAUUUUUAUAAUUAGCAUGCAACUCUGAAUAUGUAAGACUGAUCACAUGACUUGAGCAGUCCUACCCUUUCCAAACAGACAAGUCCUCCAGCCACUCACCUGGAUGUCACAGCAAGUUUGAUUUGCUCUAAUAAUUUCAGAACACUUUCAGUUUUUUGUAUCUUUCUGGUUAUGGAUCAGCAACAAAGAGCUCGAAUACUUUGAACAGCAGCACAGAGUGUCUGUCUCCCCACACUCUUACUAAUGAUAGGUUUAGUAAUUUUUCUCAUCUUUGGUGGUCAAUUAAGUAAAUAAAAUAUCUUGCAUUUUAAUUUGAGUUUCUUACAUUUCUAUUAGAGAGCUCACUUUUUCUUUAUUUUUUAAUCUUUUAUUUAUGUGUAUAUUUUUUCUACUGUAAAGCAUGGUGACUCAGUUACACUUAACAUGUAUACAUUCUUUUUUCUCAUAUUACAUGUUCCAUCAUAAGUGACUAGAUAGAGUUCCCAGUGCUACACAGCAGUAUUCCAUUGCUAACCCAUCCCGAAGGCAACAUUCUGUAUUUAUUUACCCAAGCUCCCAGUCACGCCCGCUUCCUCCCCUUCCCUCUUGGCAGCCACAAAUCUAUUCUCCAAGUCCAUGAUUUUCUUUUCUGUGGAAAGGGUCCUUUGUGCCGUAUAUUAGAUUCCAGAUAUGGGCGAUAUUAUAUGGUAUUUGUCUUUCUCUUUCUGACUUACUUCACUCAGCUCACUUUUUAAAGAAAUAUUUAGGUUUUGAGAGUAUUAUAUGUGUGUCUUUCAUGUAUCAUAAACAUUUUUCUUUUUGUAAUAUGUUCUUUCCUUUGUUUAUGUGUCUCUGACAUUAUGAAUCCAGUAAUUUGGUCUUUUACUAUAAGGAUUUAUCAUUCUUUGUUCAUGCUUUUGGGUUCUCUGCCUAAUCCAAUUCCUCACCUUGCAACUCUGAAUGCUGUAAAUGAAAGUCCACUUCCAACCCCAUUCCCAGUGAGUUAAUUUCCUAGAACUACUCUAACAACACAUGUACAACAAAAUAGGGUCCUUAAAACAACAGAAAUUUAUUCUUUGCCAUGCUGGAAGCCAUAAGUCUGAAAUCUCACUCCAAUCUCUACCCCUGUCUUCACAUGGCCAUCUUCCUACUCUGUGUGGCUGUUUCUGUGUCUCUUCUCUUUUUAUAAGGACACCAGUUUUAGGGCCCACCCUAAUCCAGUAUGACCUCAUAAUAAUUAACUAACACUUUAAAGAUUUUAUCUCCAAAUAAAGGCACAUUCUGAGGUUCUGGGAAUGACAUGAAGUUGGGGGGCACUAUUCAACACACUAGACAUAGUAUGUAUAGCAUCCAAUUAUGUAUCAUCUCCUUUGCUUACAAAGAGUUUUGCUCUUUUCAUCAAGCAUCCUAAGACCUAGUGUACUUACAUUGGUCUGUAGCCUUUUUAUUUUCAGUCAUAUGGCACACUUGGGUUGCUGUUGUGGAUAGAUGAAGGAGGAAGAGAUGAGUUCAAAGGAGCCAGGAAGGGCUAGAGGAAAGUGGGUUGUGCUCUAGAGGAAUUUUUUAAAAUUCCCUUUAAAUUACAAAAUCCUUAUUUUGUUGUUGUGUUUCACUUACUUUGAUCAGUGUAUAUCUUGCCCCCGAAGUUAGGUGCAGAGAGAGAGAGAAAACCCAUUAUAGGUCCCCAGGAACUAUCUGUCCUAUGCUAUGCUAUUUACUAUAUCACUCGGGUGAUUCAGAAAUGCACCUGACAUUCAUCUUCAUCAAUGAUACGUUAGUGAAAAUCCAUUCUGUUCUUUAAAAUGGUCACAUUCAUCCUUCUUUCAUCUUUGCCUGUGUGUCCUCUUCAUGUAAGUUUAGUGACUCCAACACCUUCAGAUCCAAGAUUCACCCUUGACAUUAACAUUUUGAUAAUAUUUGGAGAAAACUCACCCUGAUUCAAAACUCCCCAACUGAUGAUUCUGUUCUUCAGGUUGAUAAUUACCAUGCUUUUCUAUAAACUCCAGUUCUCAGCUAUUCUUGGUCUUGACUCCUCCUAGCUAUUCUGCUGCAUUCAUGCAAAUUCACCUUAACCACAUUUACAACCAGGACAUUAUUAGAGCAGAGGUGGAAGCAAGGCAAAAUCCACAGAGCACAGAGGUGAGACCCAAAUAUUAAAAAUGUUCUUAAAAUGUUGGGAUUAUUCCAUUUUCAGUGAAUUUGCCUGCAUCUAUGAGUGGACAUUACAUUUAACCCCCCAAGGCUUUGUUUCCUUAUUGUGGGAUCGGAGGACUGAAUUAUUUGAGGUCUAAUGUUCUGUUGAAUAAUAGCUCUAUCAUCCUAUGAGAGCUAUGCUUGUCAAAAAUCAGACCCCUUUUUUUUUAUUGGGUCUUUUUAGGGCCACACCUGUGGUAUAUGGAGGUUCCCAGGCUAGGGGUUUUAUUGGAGCUAUAGCUGCUGGCCUACACCACAGCCAAAGAACUGCUGGAUCCAAGCCACGGAUAUGUGACAUACACCACAGCUCAUGGCAACAUCGGAUCCUUAAUCCACUGAGCAAGGGCAGGGAUCGAACCUGCAACCUCAUGGUUCCUAGUCAGAUUCACUUCCACUGUGCCAUGAUGGGAACUCCCCCAAAUCAGAUACAUUUUGUUAGGUAAAAUCAUAAUUUUCUGACAUCAAGGAUUAAAAGCUAGAACUGAUUACUUGAGGAGGCUGAAGUACCCACAUUGAGAGUCUUGCAAACAGCGUAACUGUCUAGUAUGACUUAAGCAAUAGUCUACUUGAAGACGUCAUGCUUUUUUUUAAACUAAACCUCUAAUGUUAAAAUUUGCCAUUUCCUUCAUUGCUGUCACUUUGAAUGUAACUCAAAGUGGUCAUUUCUAGUCAAAUGUAUUUAUUAUUCUAAAUAUUAUUGGAAUGACAGAACUUAUUUUAAUUAGGGAAGAGCACCAGUAUUUGUGAUGGACC